rnacentral:rRNA from 1 species
CCUACGGGAGGCAGCAGUGAGGAAUAUUGGUCAAUGGACGCAAGUCUGAACCAGCCAUGCCGCGUGCAGGAAGACGGCUCUAUGAGUUGUAAACUGCUUUUGUACGAGGGUAAACUCAGAUACGCGUAUCUGUCUGAAAGUAUCGUACGAAUAAGGAUCGGCUAACUCCGUGCCAGCAGCCGCGGUAAUACGGAGGAUUCAAGCGUUAUCCGGAUUUAUUGGGUUUAAAGGGUGCGUAGGCGGUCGGAUAAGUUAGAGGUGAAAUCCCGAGGCUCAACUUCGGAAUUGCCUCUGAUACUGUUAGGCUAGAGAGUAGUUGCGGUAGGCGGAAUGUAUGGUGUAGCGGUGAAAUGCUUAGAGAUCAUACAGAACACCGAUUGCGAAGGCAGCUUACCAAGCUACAUCUGACGUUGAGGCACGAAAGCGUGGGGAGCAAACAGGAUUAGAUACCCCUGUAGUC